GUGAUUCGUUCGGGCGCCGCGGGCUUCGCGGCGCAGACUGUGAGGACGCCGUUAACAACCUCGGCGGCGACGGUGGCCUUGUCCACGUUCUCGGGCAGCGCGACGGAGAAGGAGUAACGCCUGCGGCCGAAGCGGGUGGACGCGUCGGCGCGCGCGGUGAGCGUGUUCUUGCGAUCGAUCUCGACGGUGAAGUCGGCGGCGGAAACCCCGGGGACCGCGCGUUGGAUCAGGGUGAUCACGUCGCCGUCGACAUCGUCUGCGUUUUUGUUCGGGCCCCCGGCGUCGGCGGCGUCGUCGCCGGGGGCCGGAAGCCCGAGGGGCGUCGCGGACACCGGCACGUUCACCCCAGUCGCGCGAGGGUUAACCACGCGAAUCGUGAGCAGGCCGUCGACGCACCACGCCCUGACUGUCGCUUCGGCGUCGGCGAGUCUGAGGACGCGACGGAACUUGCGGCCGCCGAGCGCGCGCGACGCGCCUUCGACGAGGAGGGUCUCCGCGGGCCUCUUGCGGGAGAUGGAGAUGUCGUGCCUGGAAAAGCCCGGGACGUUGAUGACGAUGGUGUCACCGUCAUCGUGGGCGUCCUUGGCGUCUUCGGCGUCCUUGGCGUCCUCGGCGUCCUUGGCGUCCUCGAGC
rnacentral:lncRNA from 1 species